AAACUCAUAUGAUUAACUAACAAGACCACUCGCCAGUAAUACUACAAGCAACAGCUUAAAACUCAAAGGACUUGGCGGUGCUUCAAUCCCUUCUAGAGGAGCCUGUUCUAUAAUCGAUAAACCCCGAUAAACCUCACCACCUCUUGCUAAUUCAACCUAUAUACCGCCAUCCCCAGCAAACCCUACCAAGGCUACAAAGUAAGCACAAGCAUUCAACAUAAAAAUGUUAGGUCAAGGUGUAGUCCAUGAGGUGGAAAGAAAUGGGCUACAUUUUCUAAUAACAGAACAAUAUCCCACCACAACCCCUAUGAAAUUUGGGGUCAAAGGAGGAUUUAGUAGUAAACCGAGAAUAGAGAGCUCGAUUGAAUAAGGCCAUGAAGCACGCACACACCGCCCG
rnacentral:rRNA from 1 species